GCAUAUCAAUAAGCGGAGGAAAAGAAACCAACAGGGAUUACCUCAGUAACGGCGAGUGAAGCGGUAACAGCUCAAAUUUGAAAUCUGGGUCUUUCAGGCUCCGAGUUGUAAUUUGUAGAAGAUGCUUCGGGUGCGGCUCCGGUCUAAGUUCCUUGGAACAGGACGUCAUAGAGGGUGAGAAUCCCGUAUGUGAUCGGCCGCUUGCGCCCAUGUGAAGCUCUUUCGACGAGUCGAGUUGUUUGGGAAUGCAGCUCCAAAUGGGUGGUAUAUUUCAUCUAAAGCUAAAUAUUGGCCAGAGACCGAUAGCGCACAAGUAGAGUGAUCGAAAGAUGAAAAGCACUUUGGAAAGAGAGUUAAACAGUACGUGAAAUUGUUGAAAGGGAAGCGCUUGCAACCAGACUUGCGUGUUGUUGAUCAUCCGGGGUUCUCCCCGGUGCACUCGACCUCACUCAGGCCAGCAUCGGUUUCGGUGGUUGGAUAAAGGCCUUGGGAAUGUAGCUCCUCUCGGGGAGUGUUAUAGCCCUCGGUGCAAUGCAGCCUACCGGGACCGAGGACCGCGCUUCGGCUAGGAUGCUGGCGUAAUGGUUGUAAGCGACCCGUCUUGAAACACGGACCAAGGAGUCUAACAUCUAUGCGAGUGUUUGGGUGUCAAACCCAUACGCGUAAUGAAAGUGAACGGAGGUGAGAACCCUUAAGGGUGCAUCAUCGACCGAUCCUGAUGUCUUCGGAUGGAUUUGAGUAAGAGCAUAGCUGUUGGGACCCGAAAGAUGGUGAACUAUGCCUGAAUAGGGUGAAGCCAGAGGAAACUCUGGUGGAGGCUCGCAGCGGUUCUGACGUGCAAAUCGAUCGUCAAAUUUGGGUAUAGGGGCGAAAGACUAAUCGAACCAUCUAGUAGCUGGUUCCUGCGA
rnacentral:rRNA from 1 species